AGUCGAACGGGAAAUAUUUCAUUGAGACUUCGGUGGAUUUGAUCUAUUUCUAGUGGCGGACGGGUGAGUAACGCGUGGGUAACCUGCCUUAUACAGGGGGAUAACAGUCAGAAAUGGCUGCUAAUACCGCAUAAGCGCACAGAGCUGCAUGGCUCAGUGUGAAAAACUCCGGUGGUAUAAGAUGGACCCGCGUUGGAUUAGCUUGUUGGUGGGGUAACGGCCCACCAAGGCGACGAUCCAUAGCCGGCCUGAGAGGGUGAACGGCCACAUUGGGACUGAGACACGGCCCAGACUCCUACGGGAGGCAGCAGUGGGGAAUAUUGCACAAUGGGGGAAACCCUGAUGCAGCGACGCCGCGUGAAGGAAGAAGUAUCUCGGUAUGUAAACUUCUAUCAGCAGGGAAGAUAGUGACGGUACCUGACUAAGAAGCCCCGGCUAACUACGUGCCAGCAGCCGCGGUAAUACGUAGGGGGCAAGCGUUAUCCGGAUUUACUGGGUGUAAAGGGAGCGUAGACGGUGUGGCAAGUCUGAUGUGAAAGGCAUGGGCUCAACCUGUGGACUGCAUUGGAAACUGUCAUACUUGAGUGCCGGAGGGGUAAGCGGAAUUCCUAGUGUAGCGGUGAAAUGCGUAGAUAUUAGGAGGAACACCAGUGGCGAAGGCGGCUUACUGGA
rnacentral:rRNA from 1 species